UUUUCCGGUUGAUCCUGCCGGACCCUACUGCUAUCGGGAUGGGACUAAGCCAUGCGAGUUGUGCGCCUUCGAGCUAUGGUGAAGGCGCGGCAUACGGCUCAGUAACACGUGGCUAACCUACCCUUGGGACAGGGACAACCCCGGGAAACUGGGGCUAAUCCCUGAUGAGUGAGGAGGCCUGGAAUGGUUCCUCACCUAAAGGCCGUUGAAACCAUGCUUUUCAGCGUUGCCCAAGGACGGGGCCGCGGCCGAUCAGGUUGUUGGUGAGGUAACGGCUCACCAAGCCUUUGACCGGUACGGGCCGUGAGAGCGGGAGCCCGGAGAUGGGCACUGAGACAAGGGCCCAGGCCCUACGGGGUGCAGCAGGCGCGAAAACUCCGCAAUGCGCGAAAGCGUGACGGGGCUAUCCCGAGUACCGUCCGCUGAGGAUGGUUUUUCCACGGUGUAAGGAGCCGUGGGAAUAAGGAGAGGGCAAGACUGGUGUCAGCCGCCGCGGUAAUACCAGCUCUCCGAGUGGUAGGGAUGAUUAUUGGGCUUAAAGCGUCCGUAGCCGGCCUGGUAAGUCUCUCGUUAAAUCCAGCGACCUAAUCGUUGGACUGCGGGAGAUACUGUUGGGCUAGGGGGCGGGAGAGGCCGACGGUAUUCUCGGGGUAGGAGUGAAAUCCUAUAAUCCCGGGAGGACCACCAGUGGCGAAGGCGGUCGGCUAGAACGCGCUCGACGGUGAUGGACGAAAGCUGGGGGAGCGAACCGGAUUAGAUACCCGGGUAGUCCCAGCUGUAAACGAUGCGGACUAGGUGUUGGGGGGGCUACGAGCCCCUUCAGUGCCGCAGCGAAGGCAUUAAGCCCGCCGCCUGGGGAGUACGGCCGCAAGGCUGAAACUUAAAGGAAUUGGCGGGGGAGCACCACAAGGGGUGAAGCUUGCGGUUUAAUUGGAUUCAACGCCGGGA
rnacentral:rRNA from 1 species